GACGAACGCUGGCGGCGUGCUUAACACAUGCAAGUCGAACGCUGAAGCUCAGCUUUUGUUGGGUGGAUGAGUGGCGAACGGGUGAGUAACACGCGAGUAACCUGCCCCCUUCUUUGAGAUAACGCCCGGAAACGGGUGCUAAUAUAGGAUAUUCACUGGUCUUCGGCUGGGGGCUGGUGGAAAGGGGGUUUUUGGUGGGGGAUGGGCUCGCGGCCUAUCAGCUUGUUGGUGGGGUACUGGCCUAACAAGGCUUUGACGGGUAGCCGGCCUGAGCGGGUGACCGGUAACUGUGGGACGGUGCUGCGGCCCAGGCGCGUAAGCGGGGCAGCAGUGGGGACUAUUGCCCAAUGGGCGACAGACUGAUGCCGCGUCGCUGCGGGAGGGCUGGGGGCCGUCAGGUUGUGUUCCUCUUUCGGUCAAGGUCAAGCCGCAACAAUGGUUGUCGUGACGGUAGUGGGUAAAGAAGCGCCGGCUAACUACGUG
rnacentral:rRNA from 1 species